rnacentral:tRNA from 1 species
GGGUGUCGUUCAAUGGUAGGACACGAGCUUCCCAAGCUUGUGACGUGGGUUCGAUUCCCAUCACCC